GGCUCGUUGGUCUAGGGGUAUGAUUCUCGCUUAGGGUGCGAGAAAUCCCGGGUUCAAAUCCCGGACGAGCCC
rnacentral:tRNA from 1 species